rnacentral:ncRNA from 20 species
CGGAUCGGGCACGUCCCGGCAAACCCGAUCCGACCAAGGGCCCCCGCGCAAGCUGGGGCCCUUUUCUUUU